UACGUAGGGUGCAAGCGUUAAUCGGAAUUACUGGGCGUAAAGGGCGCGUAGGCGGACAGUUAAGUCAGAGGUGAAAGCCCAGGGCUCAACCCUGGAAUUGCCUUUGAUACUGGCUGUCUUGAGUGCGGGAGAGGUGUGUGGAACUCCGAGUGUAGAGGUGAAAUUCGUAGAUAUUCGGAAGAACACCAGUGGCGAAGGCGACACACUGGCCCGUAACUGACGCUGAGGCGCGAAAGCGUGGGGAGCAAACAGG
rnacentral:rRNA from 1 species